AAUAGCCUAACGGCUGAACCAGCAACUUGGAGGAAUGUAUAGCAAUAGCUAAUUGUGUCAAACGCAAAAUCGAUUUCUUGAUUAAAAUUCUGGGUAGAAUUAUGAUUAUGACAUUGUCUACCCACGUGUCUUGACCAAAUUGCGUGCCAGCAGUCGCGGUAAUACGUAGAAGACUAGUGUUAUUCAUCUUUAUUUGGUUUAAAGGGUACCUAGACGGUAAAUCAAGCCCUGCGGGACUAAUUUGCUAGAGUUACUUGUGAGGGGGUUUUAAAGUACUAAUGGUGUAGAGAUGAAAUUUUGUAAUACCAUUUUUCGAAGGAAAGUUAUGGCACAGGUAUAGGCGAAAGCAUCCCCUUAUGUGAUAGCUUUGAGUCGCGAACAGGAUUAGAUACCCUGGUAGUCAAAGCAGAGAAUAAUGAGUGUCAUAGGUUAGUUUAUUCUAUAAAUGAAAGUGUAAGCACUCCACCUCAAGAGUAAUUUGGCAACAUUGGAACUGAAAUCAUUAGACCGUUUCUGAAACCAGUAGUGAAGUAUGUUGUUUAAUUUGAUAAUCCGCAAAAAACCUUACCAUGAAUAUUUACAAGCGUUGCACGGCUGUCUUCAGUUAAUGUCGUGAGAUUUUGGUUAGUUCCAUUAAAUUAACGCAAGCCCUUACUUUAUUUUAAAAUAAAGUAGUUCUCCACUAGAUUGGAUAAGAUAACAGGGACUAAGACAAGUCAUCAUGGCCUGAAUAUUAUAAACCUUUACAAAAGGAUGUGAAAUUGUGAAAUUGAGCUA
rnacentral:rRNA from 2 species